GUCGACCGCCUGGGGAGUACGGCCGCAAGGUUAAAACUCAAAUGAAUUGACGGGGGCCCGCACAAGCGGUGGAGCAUGUGGUUUAAUUCGAUGCAACGCGAAGAACCUUACCUACUCUUGACAUCCAGAGAACUUAGCAGAGAUGCUUUGGUGCCUUCGGGAACUNUGAGACAGGUGCUGCAUGGCUGUUGUCAGCUCGUGUUGUGAAAUGUUGGGUUAAGUCCCGCAACGAGCGCAACCCUUAUCCUUUGUUGCCAGCGNUUNGGCCGGGAACUCAAAGGAGACUGCCAGUGAUAAACUGGAGGAAGGUGGGGAUGACGUCAAGUCAUCAUGGCCCUUACGAGUAGGGCUACACACGUGCUACAAUGGCNUUUACAAAGAGAAGCGACCUCGCGAGAGCAAGCGGACCUCAUAAANUAUGUCGUAGUCCGGAUUGGAGUNUGCAACUCGACUCCAUGAAGUCGGAAUCGCUAGUAAUCGUAGAUCAGAAUGCUACGGUGAAUACGU
rnacentral:rRNA from 1 species